CAGUCGCCGCGGUAAUACGUAGGUCCCGAGCGUUGUCCGGAUUUAUUGGGCGUAAAGCGAGCGCAGGCGGUUUGAUAAGUCUGAAGUUAAAGGCUGUGGCUCAACCAUAGUUCGCUUUGGAAACUGUCAAACUUGAGUGCAGAAGGGGAGAGUGGAAUUCCAUGUGUAGCGGUGAAAUGCGUAGAUAUAUGGAGGAACACCGGUGGCGAAAGCGGCUCUCUGGUCUGUAACUGACGCUGAGGCUCGAAAGCGUGGGGAGCGAACAGGAUUAGAUACCCCAGUAGUCCCUGUCUCUUAUACA
rnacentral:rRNA from 1 species